GAUAAAAUCACAGCUGAUAGCUUGGAAGCUGCACUCCUCUCUCUUUCCCUUCCACUCCACAUCUGGAGAAGAUGAUGAGAAAACCUGAGUGCUUCCUGGUCCCUGCAUGAAGUUCAAACCCCACAGGCCCUGAAUAAGAGCUGGAAUAAUCUCCUCAGUCUAUCCUAAGACACUAGAGGCCUAGAGAAUCAUCAAGUCUCUAAUUUCAAAAUCUAUUGUGAGAUAAUAAUGAGAUGACACUUCAGUGCUUACUUGUUAUGAUACUACAUUCUUCACAAAUUGAAGGUUUGUGGGAACUCUGCAUCAAGUAAGUCUAUUG